rnacentral:tRNA from 1 species
GCGGGUGUAGCUCAGUGGUAGAGCGUCAGCCUUCCAAGCUGAAUGUCGCCGGUUCGAACCCGGUCGCCCGCUCCA